CUACGGAGGAUCCGAGCGUUAUCCGGAUUUAUUGGGUUUAAAGGGUGCGUAGGCGGCCUUUUAAGUCAGCGGUGAAAGUCUGUGGCUCAACCAUAGAAUUGCCGUUGAAACUGGGAGGCUUGAGUAUGUUUGAGGCAGGCGGAAUGCGUGGUGUAGCGGUGAAAUGCUUAGAUAUCACGCAGAACCCCGAUUGCGAAGGCAGCCGGCAAAGCCAUGACUGACGCUGAUGCACGAAAGCGUGGGGAUCAAACAGGAUUAGAAACCCUGGUAGUCCACGCAGUAAACGAUGAUCACUAGCUGUUUGCGAUACACUGUAAGCGGCACAGCGAAAGCGUUAAGUGAUCCACCUGGGGAGUACGCCGGCAACGGUGAAACUCAAAGGAAUUGGCGGGG
rnacentral:rRNA from 1 species